CGGCAACAGCUCAAAUUUGAAAUCUGGCCCUAGCGGUCCGAGUUGUAAUUUGUAGAGGAUGCUUUUGGUGAGGUGCCUUCCGAGUUCCCUGGAACGGGACGCCGGAGAGGGUGAGAGCCCCGUACGGUUGGACGCCAAACCUCUGUAUAGCUCCUUCGACGAGUCGAGUAGUUUGGGAAUGCUGCUCUAAAUGGGAGGUAAAUUUCUUCUAAAGCUAAAUACCGGCCAGAGACCGAUAGCGCACAAGUAGAGUGAUCGAAAGAUGAAAAGCACUUUGAAAAGAGGGUUAAAUAGCACGUGAAAUUGUUGAAAGGGAAGCGUUUGCGACCAGACCUUUUCCAGGCGGAUCAUCCGGCGUUCUCGCCGGUGCACUCCGCCUGGUUGAGGCCAGCAUCGGUUUCCUUAGGGGGAUAAAGGCCUGGGGAACGUAGCUCCUUCGGGAGUGUUAUAGCCCCUGGCGCAAUACCCCUCGGGGGACCGAGGACCGCGCUUCGGCAAGGAUGCUGGCGUAAUGGUCGUCAACGACCCGUCUUGAAACACGGACCAAGGAGUCGAACAUUUGUGCGAGUGUUUGGGUGUCAAACCCUCACGCGUAAUGAAAGUGAACGGAGGUGAGAGCCCUUACGGGUGCAUCAUCGACCGAUCCUGAUGUCUUCGGAUGGAUUUGAGUAAGAGCAUAACUGUUCGGACCCGAAAGAUGGUGAACUAUGCGUGGAUAGGGUGAAGCCAGAGGAAACUCUGGUGGAGGCUCGCAGCGGUUCUGACGUGCAAAUCGAUCGUCAAAUCUGCGCAUGGGGGCGAAAGACUUAUCGAACC
rnacentral:rRNA from 1 species